UGAGGAAAGCUCCAGUCACGAGUGCUACCU
rnacentral:piRNA from 1 species